rnacentral:rRNA from 1 species
UACGAAGGGUGCAAGCGUUAAUCGGAAUUACUGGGCGUAAAGCGUGCGCAGGCGGUUUUGUAAGUCUGUCGUGAAAUCCCCGGGCUCAACCUGGGAAUGGCGAUGGAGACUGCAAGGCUAGAGUUUGGCAGAGGGGGGUAGAAUUCCACGUGUAGCAGUGAAAUGCGUAGAUAUGUGGAGGAACACCGAUGGCGAAGGCAGCCCCCUGGGUCAAAACUGACGCUCAUGCACGAAAGCGUGGGGAGCAAACAGG